rnacentral:pre_miRNA from 1 species
AUUCUACUACCUCUGUUGCACAAUACAUGCCUUCUAUUUGUCAAAAUAUAUAUGUAUCUAGACAUGCUUUAGUAUAUAGGUACAUCCAUUUUUGGACAAAUGGAAGUCAAGUAUUUUGGAACGGAGGGAGUACACA